rnacentral:rRNA from 1 species
AGAUUGAACGCUGGCGGAAUGCUUUACACAUGCAAGUCGAACGGCAGCACGGGGGCAACCCUGGUGGCGAGUGGCGAACGGGUGAGUAAUACAUCGGAACGUGCCCAGUCGUGGGGGAUAACUACGCGAAAGCGUAGCUAAUACCGCAUACGAUCUACGGAUGAAAGCGGGGGACUCGCAAGAGCCUCGCGCGAUUGGAGCGGCCGAUGGCAGAUUAGGUAGUUGGUGGGGUAAAGGCUCACCAAGCCUGCGAUCUGUAGCUGGUCUGAGAGGACGACCAGCCACACUGGGACUGAGACACGGCCCAGACCUCCUACGGGAGCAGCAGUGGGGAAUUUGGACAAGUGGGCGCAAGCCUG